AGAGUUUGAUCCUGGCUCAGGAUGAAUGCUGGCGGCGUGCCUUAAGCAUGCAAGUCGAACGAUAGUCCUUCGGGGCUAUAGUGGCGGACGGGUGAGUAACGCGUAGGAAUCUACCCCUGGAUGGGGAAUAACUCAGAGAAAUCUGGGCUAAUACCGCAUAAUCUCUACGGAGAAAAGGUCGUAACUGAUCGUCGAGGGAGGAGCCUGCGUCCUAUCAGCUUGUUGGUGAGGUAAAAGCUCACCAAGGCGAUGACGGGUAGGGGGUGUGAGAGCACGGCCCCCCACAAGGUCACUGAUACACGGGGCCUACACCUACGGGUGGCAGCAACUGGGAAUAUUGCGCAAUGGGCGAAAGCCUGACGCAGCGACGCCGCGUGCGGGAUGAAGACCUUCGGGUUGUAAACCGCUGUGGAGAGGGAAGAUAAUGACGGUACCUCUCUAGAAAGCACCUGCUAACUACGUGCCAGAAGCCUCGGUGAGACGUAGGGUGCAAGCAUUAUCCGGAUUUAUUGGGCGUAAAGAGUAUCGUAGGCGGUUUUGUAAGUGGUCGGUGAAAUCCUCUGGCUCAACCAGAGAACUGCCGAUCAUACUGCGAGACUAGAGUGACUUCGGGAAGGCUGGAAUUCUCGGUGUAGGGGUGAAAUCCGUUGAUAUCGAGAAGAACACCAAGGGCGAAAGGCAGGCCUUUAGGAGUCUACUGACGCUGAUGAACGAAAGCUUGGGGAGCAAAAGGGAUUAGAGACCCCUGUAGUCCAAGCCGUAAACGUUGCCCACUAGAUGGUUUUGAUUUAUCAGAGCUGUCGUAAGCUAACGCGUUAAGUGGGCCGCCUGGGGAGUACGGCCGCAAGGCUAAACUCAAGGAAUUGACGGGAAACGCACACCAGGGGAGCAUGUGGUUUGAUUCGAUACAAAGCGUAGACCUUACUGGCUUGACAUCCUGUGACCGUAUAGAAAUAUAGCUUUUCUUUUAGACACCAUGACAGCUGCUGCAUGCUGUCGUCAGCUCGUACCGGGAGGCGUCGGCUAUGCCCCACGAGCCCACCCCCCCCGUUGUUGAUCUCAUACGACUGCUUGCCUCUUACCAGAGGAGGAGGAGGGACCAACUCUAGGUCUAGACACGGCUUAGCUCAAGGCAACACACAUC
rnacentral:rRNA from 1 species